GUUCCCGGGCCUUGUACACACCGCCCGUCACACCAUGGGAGUGGGCUGCACCAGAAGUAGUUCCCGGGCCUUGUACACACCGCCCGUCACACCAUGGGAGUGGGCUGCACCAGAAGUAGAUAGCUUAACCUUCGGGAGGGCGUUUACCACGGUGUGGUUCAUGACUGGGGUGAAGUCGUAACAAGGUAGCCCUAGGGGAACCUGGGGCUGGAUCACCUCCUUACUGA
rnacentral:rRNA from 1 species